CAUAAUCAUUAGUCUUUUAAUUUUAGACUGGUAUGAAUGGUUAAACUAAGUAAUUUUGUCUUGAGAUAAUAUUUCUAAUUUUAUAUUUUAGUAAAAAAGCUAAAAUUUCUUUUAGGGACAAGAAGACCCUGUCAAGCUUUACAAAUUAGAUCAUUAUUCUUAAAAUGGUUGAGAUUUGUUUUACUGGGGCAGUAGAUAAUAAAAUCUUAUUUAUAUAUUGUAAGAAUAAUUUUUGUUAAAUCAGGAAAUUCCUAAAGAAAAAUAAGUUACUGCAGGGAUAACAGCGUAAUUCUUUUUAAGAGUUCUUAUCAUCAUUAGAGUUUGCGACCUCGAUGUUGGAUUAAAAUUCCUGAUUCACGCAAUAG
rnacentral:rRNA from 1 species